rnacentral:misc_RNA from 1 species
AACUUUCAGCAACGGAUCACUUGGCUCUCGCAUCGAUGAAGGACGCAGCGAAAUGCGAUAAGUAAUGUGAAUUGCAGAAUUCAGUGAAUCAUCGAAUCUUUGAACGCACCUUGCGCUCCCUGGUAUUCCGGGGAGCACGCCUGUUCGAGUGUCGCGAAAUUUCUCAAGCUUGGAUGGCUUUUUUGUCUGUCCUAAGCCUUGGUUGUUGGGCUUUGCCGUGUCCUUCAUUGGGACGGCUGGCCUUAAAAGCAUCAGCUGAUCCUCGUGUGGCACUGGUUCUACUCAGCGUGAUAAUAAUCUAACCGCUGAGGACAUCUUUUGGGAUGGCCAGUUCUCCUUGGGGUUGCUCUCUAAUCUGGAUUGCAAGAUUUCGCGAAUCUUUGCUCCACUUUCAAUUUUGACCUCGAAUCAGGUGGGACUACCCGCUGAACUUAAGCAUAUCAAUAAGCGGAGGCU